CCCACACCUGGGCGUAGGUGGAUGUUCGACCAGAGAAGAGAAAGAAGGGGGAAACCCCUUCUCAAACCCUAAUCGACCAAAUUGAUGGAUUCUGGCUGAAAUCGAACUUGCAUGAACAAGAUUCUUGAUUGUUGAACUCUGUAAAACACAUGGAAUCCCAAUUGACAUGGACUCAAGAAUGGAAGGCUAACGGAUCAAGGGUAAAUAAAGAAGCUAUGCACAACUCGGACACACGAUGUAAGUGAUUCCAAUUCACUUCUUAGUAUGUACGUAGUAUUUAAUAUUUAUGUGUAGAAAAAUAUGCAAGAAUCCUGUAAUGAAUGAGAAGUAUUGAGGUAAGUAUUAUUUUAGUAUAACAAAGGAGUUGUUUAUAAUGAAAGUAAACUAGUAGGAUUAGACGGGUCAAAUAAUGUAUAAAGGGGUUUAUAAGCCGUUUGCUUAUAAAUCAGAUUUUGAUGCUACCCGAAGUGAUAAACGGAUCCGUAAUUAAAUUACGGGCGCGUAGGAAAAAGAAUCGGGUAAAACGGAUCAAAAAUGAGAGAGUUAUGUUCGUUUCGGUAAGAAUUAAUGGUUGGGAAAAGUGCAGAGCUGACACGACCGGGUGAAGGUUUUGUGAAAAAUAUAUGGUUAGUUGACACGGUCGGGUGGUUAACCUGACCCGGCCGGGUGAAGGGGCUGAAAAUAAAAAAAAAUAUAUGUAAGUAGAAAGUGGUUGCUAUGAAUGCACGUAAAAAUUAGGAAUGUAUACGUUUGUGAAUGCGAAUGUUAUAAAUGUAUAAAGGAAUGGUACGGAAUGGUUUCAUUAUGUUCGAGCAUUAAUGAUUGCUAAUGGUGUGUUUGAGAUUGAAAUGCAUUGCAGGUAUAUGAACACCGGGUUCUUGAAGUAUCGAAGUCGAACUCUGAAUAAGAAAAUAUGAGAGGAUAGUUAAAUAAAUCAAAGUUUCAUUGUUAAAUGUUAUUCACUAUUAGAUUAUAUGAGAAUCAUGUUGUAUAACGUUGUCAAUGACUAAUGGUUAAGUUGUAUGUGAUGUUCACAGGUAUUGCAUGUAUCUCUACCACUACUAUCGAAGAUAAGCAUGCAUUGAUCGAGCCCCAAAUUAAAGAUUGUACGGGAAGAACGGCCACAUAGUCCGAUUUAUGUAUUGUCUUGAAGCGUUACUUUAAUGUGGUUAUUGUUAAUCCCUUUUUUGUAAAUGUUUAUCAUUUGUAUUUGAGCUUUUAAAUAAGUAAUGGGUCUAAAUAAGAAAGAAAAUUUUUGG
rnacentral:lncRNA from 1 species